CUUAGCAGAGAUGCUUUGGUGCCUUCGGGAACUCUGAGACAGGUGCUGCAUGGCUGUCGUCAGCUCGUGUUGUGAAAUGUUGGGUUAAGUCCCGCAACGAGCGCAACCCUUAUCCUUUGUUGCCAGCGAUUCGGUCGGGAACUCAAAGGAGACUGCCGGUGAUAAACCGGAGGAAGGUGGGGAUGACGUCAAGUCAUCAUGGCCCUUACGGCCAGGGCUACACACGUGCUACAAUGGCGCAUACAAAGAGAAGCGACCUCGCGAGAGCAAGCGGACCUCAUAAAGUGCGUCGUAGUCCGGAUUGGAGUCUGCAACUCGACUCCAUGAAGUCGGAAUCGCUAGUAAUCGUAGAUCAGAAUGCUACGGUGAAUACGUUCCCGGGCCUUGUACACACCGCCCGUCACACCAUGGGAGUGGGUUGCAAAAGAAGUAGGUAGCUUAACCUUCGGGAGGGCGCUUACCACUUUGUGAUUCAUGACUGGGGUGAAGUCGUAACAAGGUAAGCGUAGAUGA
rnacentral:rRNA from 1 species